rnacentral:rRNA from 1 species
CCUACGGGAGGCAGCAGUGAGGAAUAUUGGUCAAUGGGCGGGAGCCUGAACCAGCCAAGUCGCGUGAGGGACGACGGUCCUAUGGAUUGUAAACCUCUUUUGUCGGGGAACAAAGGCGCCCACGGGUGGGCGGAUGAGUGUACCCGAAGAAAAAGCAUCGGCUAACUCCGUGCCAGCAGCCGCGGUAAUACGGAGGAUGCGAGCGUUAUCCGGAUUUAUUGGGUGUAAAGGGAGCGUAGACGGUGCGCCAAGUCUGGAGUGAAAUGCCGCAGCUUAACUGCGGAACUGCUUUGGAAACUGGCGAACUAGAGUGCGUGAGGGGUAAGCGGAAUUCCUAGUGUAGCGGUGAAAUGCGUAGAUAUUAGGAGGAACACCGGUGGCGAAGGCGGCUUACUGGACCGUAACUGACGUUGAGGCUCGAAAGCGUGGGGAGCAAACAGGAUUAGAUACCCUUGUAGUC